AGUCUGAAACAGAGGUCAACCAACACUUUGAUUUCAACUUGGCAAAACCUUAAGCAGAGGACUCAGCGAACAUGUGUUUGGACUUCUGAACUACAGAACUGUGAGAUAAUAAAUUGGUGUAAUUAUAAGUUACUAAGUUUGUAGUCAUUUGUUAUCUGAAAUAGAAAACAAGUACAAUCAUUUAGCACAUUAAUAAUUAUUUACUUUUAUUCAGGAAUUAUGUAACUUUAUUUAGUAUUUGCUUAGUAAUAAUUAUUGUGAGUUUUUGAGCAUGGGAGCUAUGUCUUAUUAUCUUUUUUUAUGCUCAAUCCCUAUCAGAAGUUGUGUAUUAAAUGAAUAUUUGUCAAACAAACAAACAGUGCCU
rnacentral:lncRNA from 1 species